rnacentral:rRNA from 1 species
CAUGCUUAACGGAGUUUUUUAAAGUAUGUUUUUGUACCGAAAGGUUUUGAUCUUAGAUUUAGUUGUUUAGAAGUGUUGUUUGGUCUGGGUAAGGUCUUGUAAACUAAAUUUAUGUGGUGAUAAGUGAGUCGUAAAGCUUUAUAACUGUUUGGUUGUUUAGAAUUUAGUGGGAUGUAGGUGGCUAUUAGGUCAUUUAUAUUUUUAUACAUUUGGUGAUGUGUGGUUUUUGAUAAGGUUAGAGGUACCUAGUUUUUGUUAUAUUGUUGUAAAUAUGGUUUUGUUGGUUUAUUGGUAUGUUAAUUGUUUGAACAACUGUUUUGCUAUAUUUGGUUAUUAUAUUAUCGUUGAAUAAGUAAUUUUAUUAUGCUAUUUAUUUCUUGAGUUCUUUCCGUCUGUUUAUUAAAAACAUUUCUAAUUUUAAUUGUAGUUAGUAGUGCCUGCCCAAUGUUGGUUAAUUAAUGGCCGCAGUAUAUUGACUGUGCAAAGGUAGCAUAAUUAAUUGCCUUUUAAUUGGAGGCUUGUUUGAAUGGUUUGACGUGAUUGGUAUGAAUAUUUGGUAUUUAGUUGAAAUUGAUUUUGAGGGUUUAGAAUCCUUAAUGUUUAAU